rnacentral:misc_RNA from 1 species
ACCCCCAAAAGAUGCAAUCCUCCAGGAGGUUCUCCCCAUCAGUGGUAUCCCUACACUCCUCCAAGGAAGAUUGCUGGCUGGUCAUCCAUGGCAAGGUUUAUGAUGUGACUACCUUCUUAGAAGAUCAUCCUGGAGGGGAGGAUGUCCUCAUCCAAGCAUCAGCCAGUGGAGAUGCAACACAGUCAUUUGAGGAGGUUGGUCACAGCUCCACAGCAACCAGCAUGAUGGAGGGGUAUCUGAUCGGAGUUCUCGAGGGCGGCUACGAGACCGUCAGCGGCAUCAAUGGCACGGUGAAGAUGACCAAGAGAGGAGCAGAAGCGGAGAGCUCGUUGCAGCAGGGCAAUACCGCCCCCUCCUACAGCUUCAUCGACUACUUCCUGCCCUUGUUUUUCCUUGCUUUGGCCUUUGCUGCUUGGUACUACCUCACCUUUCUCAAUGUUGAGACCUGA